GCACUUAGGAUGCUUAAACUUAAGAUGCUUAAGAAGACAGAGAUUGUCAAAUCCUAGCACCGACUCUAUCAAGAUCUCCACGGAGAUACAGACACAACAAGAAAGGACUCCACCUAGAUCAUGGUAUGAUAACUAUUGAGAAAUACUGCUCCGAUGCCUUGCCCGCUCCUAUGGCCCUGCCUGAACUGUGGACAAACAGGAUACCUGACAUGCCUCACAUUGUUUAAGACAAAGCAAGGUCAGUCUCCCAAGUUCCUCCUCCACAGGAAGUCCUCUCAGAUUUGCUGGACAUGGCAGCCGAAGACUGAUCCUGCCCUGGACCUAUGUCCUUAACUAAGCCAUCCACAGCAAAGGAACCUAGUAGAGUGGCUGUCUAGGUCAUGGGCAAGUCUGUCAUUUUAAUUAAUACGUAGGCCAUUUAGAUUAUAAUAUAUCCUUCUCAAAUCUCCAAGGAGCUUGAAGACUAAACUACUGAAAGAAGUAACUUUGUCUUAAGGAACCCAUUUUACAAUGACCACUCUGCGUGAUCAACCACUUGUGUCUCAUGGUAAAUGAUUAGUUAGGAAAAAGUAGACUUUAUACAAGGGUUGAGAGUAUGAGAAAGCAUUUGAGAAUCUAGAAAGGAGUUUGAGGUUGGUAACUUCAAGUUAUGAAAGUUAGAGAACGUGGGAAAAAACCUUGGCUGGUGAUAGGAACAUGAUUUAAGGUAUAUAAGAGAAAUUUUAAAAAUGCUUCAGAUGGAAGGUGUUUGAGGUUAGUAAAUGCAAGUACCAAAGGAGUUCUCUUUUUGUAAACUUAAUAAGAUUCUUGUAAGCUUCAGAGAAUCCACUCAAAUCCAGGUCAAAUGAACUACAGGUGAGUGCUGUCAAUCAACAGCCUGUUUCCCUCCUCACUUCUGUUCCUGAGGGUGGGAUCUAUUCCCCUUUCCCUGGUCCUGGAAUGCCCCCAUUCUCCAACUACCAAAACUAUGGGCCUAAAAGUUUCAAAUGUACACAUAGGAAAAACGUUUUGCUCCCCAGACUCCUUAAUUUUAUCUUCUACCCCUAACAUAUAUAUCUUUUCCAGAAUCCUGACAAGUCUGGAUGUUUCCUCAGAACCUGCAUCCAGGACAGCUCCAAAGCCUGUACCCACAGAUGCUUUAGCCCAGCCUCACAGACUGCUACACCUGUGCCUGCAUACUCCUAGCCCGAGAUAGACAGCAAUGAAACAAACAGACUUCCCAGACUGGGCCAACAUUCCAGAUUUCUGCCUACACCCCCAGAACCAUACCUGGGUGUCAGCAUGAAGUAGUCAUAGACAAUUAUGACAAUCUUUAUUCAUUUAUUAUCAACAAAAGGCUGGGGUGUUUGAUUUUGGGCUCUGGGGACAAGGAGCUGAGGUAUGUAUUUUAAUACCAAAGCAGAACUGGCUUCCUGGUUCUCCCAUUAUACCUCAGUCCCUACCUAGCAUACCCCAACUCCAGCCCUACCCCUUAACUUUCCAGCCCAGUGUCUGGGCUGUCCUUCUCCCAGAAGUUCUUUGCUUUAUAACCCAGAUAUUUUGCUUGCAUUCUCUCUCUGUCUCUUUCUGGGUGUCUCUGUCUGUCUGUCUCUCUCUCACUCACACACACACACAAACACAAACACACAUACAUACACACAUCUUCUCUCCUCCCCUUUUCCUUUUCUGUACUUUUCUCUCUUUUACUUUAUUCUCCCCUCUGUCUACCUUCCUAUGACAACUUCUCUGGCCUCCUUGAUUGGGGCCAGUGAACUUGCCCACCAGAGAACAGCUUCCCAAUAAACCUGCUAUUGUGUAUACUUCAAUCUGGCUUUAAUUGGCUCAUUUUUACCAGCAGACAAAUAACUUAUGAGGUAGAAAAGUUUCUGAUGAAGUGUGGAAUAUUAUUGGUACCAUAUGGACACUCAGAUGCAAAAACGCCACUUUCUUAACUAUUAAAUGCUCUAUAUGACACUUCACCAUACAAAUUCUCAUCCUCAAUUUACUUUCAGGGUUAAAUUAGACAUGUGAACAUAAUACUUACAACAGAACAUUUUCAAAAGUCAUGAGUUGUUGUGUCACCAAGUAGGCACCGAACCGGAAACAAGCAGCAUAAGAAAAAUACAUCAUGGCCUGGGUGAAGGAGAACGUGAUCCCAAACACGUGUGCUUUCUUCAUCGCAUUUCUGGAAAGAAGACAGUGCAGAUUCAGUCCAUCGCUCAGUCAUUCAAGCAGCUUGCUGUGGCUUGUCAGUGAGGCACGCAGGCGUGACAGAUACCGUGCACUCCAGUUCUAAGGAACUCAGCUGGUGGAUCCCCUUUGGAUUAGCUGUGUGAAUUUAGGAAACUGCCUCGUCUCUGAGACUCAGUGCUGUCUUCAUCUUUAAUGUAGGAUUACAUCUCAGUGGGUUGAUGGAAGAUAACUGGCCUGGAACCCUGAGAAGAGCCUGUUUUACAUUCCCUUUUCCACACUGUGGGACACACAACACUGGUGAUCUGUAGAGUAGGACACCUCCCAACACAUCUACCCAGCACACUCAAGCUGUGGGUGACAGGGCAGCGGGCAUGUCCUUGAUGUGAGGACCUAGGGGAGCUGCAUGUGAUCAGUGCAGUGGAGGGAGUUCCUGAGGACUGUGCUGUGGGAAGAAAGAAGCACUUGCCUGUCUGGAGCCAGGGAAGGCUCUACAAAGGAUUAGCAUUCCAGGAAUUUCUGAACCACAAGGGUCUUGGGUGUGGAGGUGUAGGCAGAGACAGGGUGGGGACAGGGACAGACUUUUGACCUUCCUACUCCUGUUUAAACACAUCACCUUUGUUCAUGUCUUUGCCACUUAGAAACUUUUCCCAGAAAGGGGGGCCUGCCAUGACUGUGACAAAGGAGCUUGGAGACACUUUAGUAAGGUCCAGUUCUUCCCUUGUCCUAGUGGAGAAACUGGGACUCAUGGUUGACCUUGUUAAUUUCCUGGUCACCCUUUGGAGCCCUCAUGGAUACUGCUGGGGUGAAGGGAGAAGAAAAGGUCUACCCAGGAAAGAAAGGAACUAAAAAUAUCCUCAGGAGACCUUCCUGUAUCACACAAUGCCUCUAAUUUCAUGUUCCAUAGAGAACAGUAAUGUCCAAUACAGCAAAUAGCAGAGUCAUUAUCCCAACUGGAUACCAGAGGCAUUAACAGUUGUUCUCUUCCCUCCCCUCCCCAUGUGUCCCCAGCCUUCAUGCAUUUAAGUCACAGAUGCUUCUGACUAAACUCAGGUCUCUUCAUUUAUCUCUUGGUAAUCUCUAGUGUUCCUUCUAGUACUUUCUUCGUGUGCACUCUGCCUUUGGCAAAAGCAAUCCGGAAAACUGAAGUCCUGCUUGGAAAUCUCCUUAGAGCCCUGGCCCACUCUUUAAGGCAUCUUACCUGUAUGGUAUCUGCAAGCUCUGGGCAUACAUGGUUUCAAACUUCUGCUCCCGAGUCAAAGAGACAACAGUGCGGAAGUUUUCAAUUGCUUCCGUAGCAAUCUGUAAAAGACAGUCCAUUGUCAGGAGAAAAGUCAAACGCAGAAACUAACUUGAAUUCUGCAAUUAGUAGCAUUAACCUAUUAUAACUUACUGCUCAUGUAUCCUUUAGCCUUAUUGAUAGCUAUCUUCUGUAUGAAGAAGAGUGGUGAGUUAUGAAACUGAAUUUUAAUUUAAUUAAUUUUGUCUUGCAUUCUAGACAGAAAGAGAAGCUGGGACACAAAGUCAUGAUGGACUUUUAGCCACCAUAUCUUUCACAGAAGUCUGUCUUCUGUGAAGGUGAUAUUUCACUAACUGUACUGGCUCGUUUUGUGUGUCAACUUGACACAGGCUGGAGUUGUCACAGAGAGAGGAGUUUCAGUUGAGGAAAUGACUCCAUGAGAUCCAGCUGUGGGGCAUUUUCUCAAUUAGUGAUCAAGGGAGAAAGGCCCCUUGUGGGUGGGACCAUCUCUGGGCUGGUAGUCUUGGUUCUAUAAGAGAGCAGGCUGAGCAAGCCAGGGGAGGCAAGCCAGUAAGGAACAUCCCUCCAUGGCUCUGCAUCAGCUCCUGCUUUCUGACUUGCUUGAGUUCCAGUCCUGACUUCCUUGGUGAUGAACAGCAAUGUGGAAGUGUAAGCCGAAUAAACCCUUUCCUC
rnacentral:lncRNA from 1 species